rnacentral:rRNA from 1 species
ACGGAAGGCAGCAGUGGGGGAUAUUGCACAAUGGGGGAAACCCUGAUGCAGCGACGCCGCGUGAGUGAAGAAGUAUUUCGGUAUGUAAAGCUCUAUCAGCAGGAAAGAUAAUGACGGUACCUGACUAAGAAGCCCCGGCUAACUACGUGCCAGCAGCCGCGGUAAUACGUAGGGGGCAAGCGUUGUCCGGAAUGACUGGGCGUAAAGGGCGUGUAGGCGGUUGAUUAAGUCCGGAGUGAAAGUCCUGCUUUCAAGGUGGGAAUUGCUUUGGAGACUGGGUGACUUGAGUGCGGAAGAGGUAAGCGGAAUUCCCAGUGUAGCGGUGAAAUGCGUAGAGAUUGGGAGGAACACCAGUGGCGAAGGCGGCUUACUGGGCCGUAACUGACGCUGAGGCGCGAAAGUGUGGGGAGCAAACAGGAUUAGAUACCCUGGUA